AACGAACGCUGGCGGCAUGCCUAACACAUGCAAGUCGAACGAGACCUUCGGGUCUAGUGGCGCACGGGUGCGUAACGCGUGGGAACCUGCCCUUAGGUUCGGAAUAACUCCCCGAAAGGGGUGCUAAUACCGGAUAAUGUCUUCGGACCAAAGAUUUAUCGCCUUUGGAUGGGCCCGCGUUGGAUUAGCUAGUUGGUAGGGUAAAAGCCUACCAAGGCGACGAUCCAUAGCUGGUCUGAGAGGAUGAUCAGCCACACUUGGACUGAGACACGGCCCAGACUCCUACGGAAGGCAGCAGUGGGGAAUAUUGGACAAGGGGCGAAAGCCUGAUACAGCAAUGCCGCGUGAGUGAUGAAGGCCUUAGGGUUGUAAAGCUCUUUUACCCGGGAUGAUAAUGACAGUACCGGGAGAAUAAGCUCCGGCUAACUCCGUG
rnacentral:rRNA from 1 species